GACGAACCGUGCGAACGUUAUUCGGAAUCACUGGGCUUAAAGGGCGCGUAGGCGGGCCGAAAAGUCAGGGGUGAAAUCCUCCAGCCCACUGGAGAGCGCCUUUGGUACUGUCGGCCUCGAGGGGUGCAGGGGCAUGCGGAACUCAGGGUGGAGCGGUGAAAUGCGUAGAUAUCCUGAGGAACACCGGUGGCGAAAGCGGCGUGCUGGACACCUUCUGACGCUGAGGCGCGACAGCGUGGGAGCAAACAGG
rnacentral:rRNA from 1 species